rnacentral:rRNA from 1 species
AGAGUUUGAUCAUGGCUCAGGAUGAACGCUAGCGGGAGGCCUAACACGUGCAAGCCGAGCGGUAGAGAUUCUUCGGAAUCUUGAGAGCGGCGUACGGGUGCGGAACACGUGUGCAACCUACCUUUAUCUGGAGGAUAGCCUUUCGAAAGGAAGAUUAAUACUCCAUAAUAUAUUGAUUGGCAUCAAUUGAUAUUGAAAGCUCCGGCGGAUAGAGAUGGGCACGCGCAAGAUUAGUUAGUUGGUGAGGUAACGGCUCACCAAGACGAUGAUCUUUAGGGGCCUGAGAGGGUGAUCCCCCACACUGGUACUGAGACACGGACCAGACUCCUACGGGAGGCAGCAGUGAGGAAUAUUGGUCAAUGGGUGCAAGCCUGAACCAGCCAUCCCGCGUGAAGGACGACUGCCCUAUGGGUUGUAAACUUCUUUUGUAUAGGGAUAAACCUACCCUCGUGAGGGUAGCUGAAGGUACUAUACGAAUAAGCACCGGCUAACUCCGUG